AUUGUGUGAAUACAUAGCACAUUCGAGGUAGACGCAGAGAACUGAAACAUCUAAGUACCUGCAGGAAGAGAAAGAAAAUUCGAUUCCCUGAGUAGCGGCGAGCGAAACGGGAAAAGCCCAAACCAGCAAGCUUGCUUGUUGGGGUUGUAGGACUCCAAUAUGGUAGUUCUUUCAGAUAGUCGAAUGACUUGGAAAAGUCAGUCAAAGAGGGUAAAAACCCCGUAGACGAAAUGUGGAAGACACCUAGGAGGAUCCUGAGUACGGCGGAACACGAGAAAUUCCGUCGGAAUCCGGGAGGACCAUCUCCCAAGGCUAAAUACUCCCUAGUGACCGAUAGUGAACCAGUACCGUGAGGGAAAGGUGAAAAGCACCCCGGAAGGGGAGUGAAAUAGAACCUGAAACCGUGUGCCUACAACAAGUCAAAGCCCGUUAAUGGGUGAUGGCGUGCCUUUUGUAGAAUGAACCGGCGAGUUACGAUUGCAUGCGAGGUUAAGUUGAAGAGACGGAGCCGCAGCGAAAGCGAGUCUGAAUAGGGCGUUUGAGUAUGUAGUCGUAGACCCGAAACCAUGUGAUCUACCCAUGUCCAGGUUGAAGGUGCGGUAAAACGCACUGGAGGACCGAACCCACGUACGUUGAAAAGUGCGGGGAUGAGGUGUGGGUAGCGGAGAAAUUCCAAACGAACUUGGAGAUAGCUGGUUCUCUCCGAAAUAGCUUUAGGGCUAGCCUCGGAAUUGAGAAUGAUGGAGGUAGAGCACUGUUUGGACUAGGGGCCCAUCUCGGGUUACCGAAUUCAGAUAAACUCCGAAUGCCAUUCAUUCAUAUCCGGGAGUCAGACUGUGAGUGAUAAGAUC
rnacentral:rRNA from 1 species